rnacentral:rRNA from 1 species
AGUGGCGAACGGGUGAGUAACGCAUCGGAACGUGCCCAGUAGUGGGGGAUAACCAGUCGAAAGAUUGGCUAAUACCGCAUACGACCUACGGGUGAAAGCGGGGGAUCGCAAGACCUCGCGCUACUGGAGCGGCCGAUGUCUGAUUAGCUAGUUGGUGGGGUAAAGGCUCACCAAGGCGACGAUCAGUAGCUGGUCUGAGAGGACGACCAGCCACACUGGGACUGAGACACGGCCCAGACUCCUACGGGAGGCAGCAGUGGGGAAUUUUGGACAAUGGGCGAAAGCCUGAUCCAGCCAUGCCGCGUGCGGGAAGAAGGCCUUCGGGUUGUAAACCGCUUUUGGCAGGAACGAAACGGUGCCGACAAAUACUCGGCGCUAAUGACGGUACCUGCAGAAUAAGCACCGGCUAACUACGUGCCAGCAGCCGCGGUAAUACGUAGGGUGCAAGCGUUAAUCGGAAUUACUGGGCGUAAAGCGUGCGCAGGCGGCUAUGCAAGACAGGUGUGAAAUCCCCGGGCUCAACCUGGGAACUGCAUUUGUGACUGCAUGGCUAGAGUUUGUCAGAGGGGGGUGGAAUUUCACGUGUAGCAGUGAAAUGCGUAGAGAUGUGGAGGAACACCGAUGGCGAAGGCAGCCCCCUGGGACCUGACUGACGCUCAUGCACGAAAGCGUGGGGAGCAAGCAGGAUUAGAUACCCUGG